CCUACGGGUGGCAGCAGUGGGGAAUAUUGCACAAUGGGCGAAAGCCUGACGCAGCGACGCCGCGUGAGUGAAGAAGUAUUUCGGUUUGUAAAGCUCUAUUAGCAGGGAAGAAAAUAACGGUACCUGACUAAGAACCUCCUGCUAACUACGUGCCAGCAGCCGCGGUAAUACGUAGGGGGCAAGCGGUCUCCGGAUUGACUGGGGGUAAAGGGAGCGUAGACGGCGCUGCAAGUCCGGAGUGAAAGCCCAUGGCUUAACCAUGGUACUGCACUGGAAACUGUGGAGCUUGAGUGCAGGAGGGGCAAGCGGAAUUCCAUGUGUAGCGGUGAAAUGCGUAGAUAUUAGGAGGAACACCAGCGGCGAAGGCGACCUUCUGGACCGUAACUGACGUUGAGGCGCGAAAGCGUGGGGAGCAAACAGGAUUAGAUACCCCUGUAGUC
rnacentral:rRNA from 1 species